CAAUAGCGUAUAUUAAAGUUGUUGCGGUUAAAAAGCUCGUAGUUGGAUUUCUGCUGAGGACGACCGGUCUGCCCACUGGGUGUGUAUCUGGUACGGCCUUGGCAUCUUCUUGGAGAACGUAUCUGCACUUCAUUGUGUGGUGCGGUAACCAGGACCUUUACUUUGAGGAAAUUAGAGUGUUUCAAGCAGGCGUGCGCCUUGAAUACAUUAGCAUGGAAUAAUAAGAUAGGACCUUAGUUCUAUUUUGUUGGUUUCUAGAGCUGGGGUAAAGAUUAAUAGGGAUAGUUGGGGGCAUUCGUAUUUAACUGUCAGAGGUGAAAUUCUUGGAUUUGUUAAAGACGGACUACUGCGAANGNAUUUGCNAAGGAUGUUUNCAUUG
rnacentral:rRNA from 1 species